rnacentral:rRNA from 1 species
AUGGACUGGAAGCAUCUAAGUGAGAAGCUCAAACUACAUGAGAAUGGUGUUGAGCAUAUCACUAACAUGAAUACUUGGAAUGAGGUAAGACCGAGGCUAAGUAAAAAUGUGACAAUUGAUAAAGAUAUAAUUGUUGCUGGAGUAAAGUUUCUUGCCAAGCAUAAUUUGGCUUUUCGAGGAUCAAAUGAGAAACUAUACCAAGUUAGCAAUGGAAACUUUUUGGGAGUAAUUGAAAUGAUAGCAGAAUUUGACCCAGUUAUGCAAGAUCAUCAUAGGCACAUUCAAAAUAGUGAAAUUCACUAUCAUUAUCUUGGGCAUAAGAUUCAGAAUGAGUUAAUUAGCCUUCUUGCUCAGAGUGUGAAAGAUUCUAUCUUAAAGGUAAUUAAUGAUGCCAAAGGUCAAGGAUAUGAUAAUGGUUCAAACAUGAAGGGAAAACACCAAGGUGUCCAUAAGAGGUUACUUGAAAUAAAUCCGAGAGCAUUGUACACGCCAUGCUCUACUAAAAGAUGGCAGGUAUUGCUUGAUAAUGUUCCAAACCUUAUAGUUAAAUCUCUCUAUAAUACUUGCUGGGAGAGUCGGAUAAAGAGUGUUCAAGCUAUUAGAUAUCAAGUUGCUCAGUUAAGAAAAGCUCUAUUAGAGUUGCAGAGAACUUCUAAUGAUGACCCCAAAACUAAGAGUGAUGCAAAAUCUUUGGUUACUGCACUUGGAAAUUUUGAAUUCUUAAUUGGCAUGUCUGAGUUUAUGUGCAUUGAUGUUACCCUUAAGCAAAUUGAAGGUGCCAUCUCAUUUUUUAAGAAGUAUAUAAAUGACGGCUUUACAUCCAGAGUGAACAUUGCAAAAUUUAUUGCAUCUGACAUGGAUAUAGACCCUGUAUUUCCUGCAGUUGCAGAGGAAUCAUUUCGAGUUAAAUACUUUCUGGUGAUGAUAGAUGUUGCAAUUAAUUCCCUGAACACCAGAUUUGAUGAGAUUAUGUCAUUUGGGAGUAUAUUUGGCUUCUUAUUCAACUCUAAAAAAUUGAAAUCCUUGGAUGAUAAUGACCUGAGAAGAUUGUUGCAAAUGACAUUGCCAAAUACACUCAUGUCAGCAGAUCAGAUAUUUGAGUUUGUUAGAGCUGCAGAUUGCUAUCCAAAUGUGUCAAUUGCUUACCGAAUUCUCUUAACUGUGCCUGUGACGGUAGCAUCAGCUGAACGAAGUUUUUCAAAAUUGAAGUUGUUGAAAAAUUAUUUGAGGUCAACUAUGUCGCAAGAAAGAUUGAAUGGAUUGGCAAUAUGUUGUAUUGAGAAGGAUGUGUUGGAUAACAUUGAUCUCGAUACUGUCGUUAAUGAUUUUGCAUCAAAAAAUGCAUGA